rnacentral:rRNA from 1 species
GACGAACGCUGGCGGCGUGCCUAAUACAUGCAAGUAGAACGCACAGUUUAUACCGUAGCUUGCUACACCAUAAACUGUGAGUUGCGAACGGGUGAGUAACGCGUAGGUAACCUGCCUGGUAGCGGGGGAUAACUAUUGGAAACGAUAGCUAAUACCGCAUAAUAUUGAUUAUUGCAUGAUAAUUGAUUGAAAGAUGCUAUUGCAUCGCUACCAGAUGGACCUGCGUUGUAUUAGCUAGUAGGUGAGGUAACGGCUCACCUAGGCGACGAUACAUAGCCGACCUGAGAGGGUGAUCGGCCAACCUGGGACUGAGACACGGCCCAGACUCCUACGGGAGGCAGCAGGAGGGAAUCUUCGGCAAUGGACGAAAGUCUGACCGAGCAACGACGCGUGAGUGAAGAAGGUUUUCGGAUCGUAAAGCUCUGUUGUAAGAGAAGAACGGGUGUGAGAGUGGAAAGUUCACACUGUGACGGUAUCUUAACAGAAAGGGACGGCUAACUACGUG